ensembl:lncRNA
CCCGCCUCCAGCUGGCCCCUCACAUGGGCUGUUUCCCAGCCAGGAUGUCCUCUCCACCAAGCCAGCCCGCACUGCUGAGAAGCUCUCAGGGAUCAGCCCCUCCCUCCUUUGUGCUCUCACAAAACGAGUUCAUUCCCCGUGAGUUAAGAUUUCCUGCACGUCUGCGGCGUGCCGGGCGCUGGGGGAGGAAGGUGCUUUGUGCUCGGCAUCAAGGUGGAUUUCAUCUGCAGGCGAGUCUGCCUUUCACCCGGGCUGAGCUCUGGGGGGGUUGGGAUACCCCCCUUCCCCGCCCAAUGCCUACCUGCCCAGGUGCCAGGCUCCAGGUCGGCAGGACUCUGGCUGUGCACCACUCAGCACGGGCGGCGGGGGCCCUGGCAGGGGAGACCUGGGGGCACAGCGUGGAAGGGGCAGUGGCCAGGGGGUCAGUAACAUGCUGCACCCCCCCAACACAGAACACACACCCGGAAGAGGAAGCGAGGGGCUGAGGCUGAGCAGGAGGUGGAAGGAAGGCUGGCUGCUGGGAGGGCACACGAUGGGCCCGAGGGCUGGUGAGGAACCUGUGAAUGCUGCCCGCCCCCAGCCGUGGCCACCGCGCCCAGCGAAGCUGCCCCCUCGGCUGCUCCCGCAGGGAGGAGAGUGCUCAGGGCACCCCAGGGCCCCAGGGCAGGGGGCGGCCUCGGAUGGGGCCCUUGGGGAGCAGGAGGGUGGGGGCGUCUGCGAGUGGAGUGAGCCCAGAGGGCAGGGGGAGGCCCUGGGCAGCAGGCAGCCGGCCUGCUGGGACCCCCGGCUCUGCCCGUCCCCCGCCCAUGCUGCAGAACCAGCUGGGGUGUCUGGGGAGGAAGAGGCCGCUGAGCCCACAGGCAGAAGGCCCCCAGCCGAGGGUCCUGGCCAUCCUGCCCAGUGACCUAGCGGGGCCCAGCUACCCUAUCCGUAAGAAGGGGUUCUCCUGGGGUUCUCAAGGCAAGAAUACCAGAGUGCUUUGCCAUUCCCUGCUCCAGUGGACCGCGUUUUGUCAGGCCCCGACUAGCAAGGACGUGUCCUCCAGCCGCUCCACGUGGCAUGCCUGGCGCCCUGGGUGUCCCGGUGCUGGUCCUCAUUGAGUCAGGAAAACUUCACCAGCAGCCCCAGAGAUCGGGGCACAGGUGCUGCUGGAGUCGCUGUGUCUCUGGGUGGCCGUCAGCCUGGCCUGCACGGGCCUGUGCCAGCCAGGGUUGCUCUCUGAGGCCGUGAUGGUGUCGAUUCUGGACACACGCAUGGAGCACCUAUCCCAGACACGUCGCCAUCCCACUGUGUGUGGCUAUCCUGUGAUAGGGCGUCAUCGUGGAAGCUGUGGCCUUGCUCCUUGCCUGACGCCGCCCACCAGGCCCUCCAGGAGGGAUGGGGCAGGCGGGGCAGGAGGGGCAGGUGUGGGUGACUUUGGUUCUGAGGCUCCAGGAGCCAGGGAGGGCCCAUGAGAGACAGGCACGGCCCCACCCUCCGCAGGGACCCGGCGGUGGGGGAUGCUCCCGGCACAUGGAUGAGUGCCCCUCCUGUCCGAGCUCUUGGUGGCUGGAAAGGUGGGGGGCCCUCCUCCCGUGAGCCCAGGCUGGAGUUACAUGUCCCUGGGGAGUGGGCAGCCUCCAGGGCUCCCCAGGAGAGGCACUUGUCCUGGGGACGUGGGAGGAGACUGGCUCACCGUGAGUCCCCAGGCCCCACCCUGGCAGAGAAACAGGCCUCCCCAUGUGUGUGGGAAAAAGCUCUGUCCAGCCCAGCUUUGAAUAUGGGGACCCAGGUCCCCCUCCUGCCCCGCGCCACAUGGAAGCCAGUGGCCUCCGUCUACCAGGCAAGGCAGAGACCUCCCAGCCGUGGGGCAGCCCUCCCUCCACCAGUGACUUGAGCUGGUCCCUGGAGGCGUGUGGGGGGGGACCCAGGUUACAGGGAGGGGAGGAGACUCGGCCAAACUCUGAAUAGCCCCUUCCAGCAGACCCCUGGGACCCCCGGAGAGCUACAGCCUUCUGCAGCCUCGGAGGCCGAGGCUUGGAGAGCUGCCGGGCGGGCGGGCGGGCG